rnacentral:pre_miRNA from 1 species
UUCAGUUUUCUUAUAGUCAAACUUCUCUAACUUUGACCAAGUUUAUAGAAAAAUAUAUUAACAUCAACAAUACCAAAUAAAUGCAAUGACAAGACAUUUCAUCAUGGAUUUAAUAAAACUAAUUUGAUACUAUUGAUGUUGGUGCAUUUCUCUAUAAACUUGGUGACAGUUAGAGAAGUUUGACUUCUAGCAGAACUUAAA